rnacentral:guide_RNA from 1 species
AUUAAUAAUACUUAACUAACGAUCUAUGGGUUUAAAAAUAAUGUUAG